UACAUGGGGUGCAAACGUUGCUCGGAAUUAUUGGGCGUAAAGCGCACGUAGGCGGUCCGUUAAGUCAGAUGUGAAAGCCCCCGGCUCAACCGGGGAAGUGCAUCUGAAACUGGCGGGCUAGAGUACGAAAGAGGGUCGCGGAAUUCCCGGUGUAGAGGUGAAAUUCGUAGAUAUCGGGAGGAACACCGGUGGCGAAGGCGGGUCACUGGCCCGAUACUGACGCUGAGGCACGAAAGCGUGGGGAGCAAACAGG
rnacentral:rRNA from 1 species